CUAUCUUUCCUAUAUAAAGAGUACCCUGGUAUUGCUAUGUCCCAGUCAUUUUUCUCAUUGUACCAUGUCUCAGUAACAGCGACUAAAUCUACACUAUCAGUUGCCAUUAUUGCCACAAAUUCAUGGAUCUUAUUCCCUAAACUGCGAGCAUUUGUAGACAUGACUCUAAGCUUAUCAUUUUUUAAUACACUUGCUACAGGCACCUUCUGUCCUUGUUUUGGGGGACAAUUGGAUUGAUGUUUUAUCAUCCUUUUGCCCCCCCUCCUAGUUUAAAUACAUCCUAGCAAAACCUCUGAACUGCUCACUGAGAACAUUUGUUCCCUUUUGAGAAAGAUGCAAACCAUCUUUUUUGUACAGCUUAUCUCCAUUCCAAACAGAGCUACCAUGAGAAAUAAAGCCAAAUCCUUGCUCCUGACACCAUUCACCAAGCCACAAAUUAAAGUCCCUAAUACGCAUCCGCCUGUCGUUCUGAGUGUUAUGCACAGGCAGAACUUCAGAGAAUGACAGUGUGGAAG